AAAACCCAGUACGUGCGUGUUCCAAAGUCAGCUGGAGUUGUCAGAAAGACACUGAAGACAAAAAAGAAAAACAAAAAAAUCCUAAAACUAUUCCUGCACAAGAAAUCUGACAGGUGUAAACCGAAAAGUCUCUCUUAAAAUCUUCUAUUGAAGCGUCCAAGAUGACUAAACCAACCCUUAUUUAAAAGCAAUAAUUCCUACCUGAAAAAUAUCCCUAUACUUGUCCAGACGUCUGUGCGCCUUUUCCACUCUUUUGGGAACAACUGCAUGGUGUCUUUUCAAGUAGAAAAGAAAGGUAGGCCUCGGCCCAGACCUCUAACAUUAUGUAAAUGAGGCAAACCUCUCAACCUUGUGGAUUACUGAGUCAGAGAGCAGGACCCUGGUCCACAAACCCUCCACAUUAGGAUCCCAUAAAAAUCUGGAGCUGGUUGGCUGCAUGCAACGCUUAUGAGAGCUUAUAGUCCACAUUAAUGUAGUUGUCAAUCUAAGUUAACUUUUACAUCCAGGGAAUAUGAUGUGGCCAAGGCAUCGGGAGGCGGAUAAACGGACGCGCCAAGGAAAUGUGAAGAAGGCCCGGCCAAGUGGUUCUUUUUGUCUGGAAGGAUGUCAGCUCUCCGUGCCUGACCAUCUCUGAGGACGCUUGAUGUCAUCUUGUCUACCUGAUCAUUACACUACCUGCUCUCCUCUACAAUGCUGCCCUCUCGCUGCUCCGCCACUUGAAAUGCUUGGCUGGCCUCUUCUCUGAAACCAUCAUGAAAUUGUGUGCUAAAACGGUGCCGACUGUUCCUCCUCUCUCCUCCCUCCAGCCAUGAGUGCAGGAGCCAUAAAAAGAUUCCUCCACUCGGACCACUGCUGCUGCUCAGUCAACAGGAAAACACACAAAACACACUUCAGCCGUCUGCCACUGUUCACCUCUCACUGCUUUUAUUUGAUUUAUUGUUGUUUGCAGUGCGACUUGGGCAGCAGUGCCCAAGUAAAUGUAAUGGACGUGACCAGUUGUUUAAAAAGACAGACUUCAGCAUCGUGUAUUUUCAAUAAGAUAGCAAGGACUUUGUGAAAAGAUUAUCAUCUAUUCUCACAGUAGCAGGUUCAGCUUUGUUAAAUAGGUUAAAUUCAAUUUUUUUCAGCAAAUCAAGGCAAUGGUAACCUUUUGCUGUAACAACAAUAAUCCAUCCAUUUAUGCAAGUACACUUAGGAAUAUAACCACAUUCAGUAUUUCAUAGUUUGGAAGAAAACAAUGUCCAUUUUCUUAGUCUGCAUAUGGAUUUGUUGUAUAAUCAAUUUCUUUUGUUGCUCCAGAAAUUUACAACAGGCCUUUCUGAAGGUGGAAUAAGAAAAGCCCAGAUGUGAAUAUUAAUGUCUGAACUACAUUCGAUGCUUCAUUUUCAGGGUCCUUAUACUGUGUAUGAUCUCUCACUGUCACCUUACCAUUGUUAAUGUUUUUAGUAACGCCAGUGCUUUUCCUGCUAAAACAAGUCAGAAAGUCAACUGUCAAAUGUACUGUGAAUGGUGUGCAUGAGUCACCGCUAAAAUGCUGCGUCUAGAGCACUGAUAGUGGUUUCUGUUACUCUACACCAGGAGUCACCAACCUUUUUGAACCUGAGAGCAACUUCAAGGGUACUGAGUACUACGAAGGGCACCUUGUUUGAUACAAACUUCCUCAAUAGCAAACUUACGCCAUCAUCUUUAAACAAUAAUAAUAAUGAAAAUAAUAUGUAAAAAGACUGUCUGAACACAUUUAUGUUAAUUAUUCCUUACACUAAUUAACAACAAUGACGGCAGGAAACACACACACACACACACACACACACACACACACACACACACACACACACACACACACACAUAUGGAAAUCUGU